rnacentral:lncRNA from 1 species
UGCCUGUCCACACGUGGAUCUAAAGCCUCGGCUGAUGGGUCUCAUGGCUCAGGAUGAGGGAAAGGACCCACCUCGCUGUCUCUCCAGUUCACUCAGCAUCUUGUCCAGAAGUUCCAUUGCCUCCUGGGAUUUCUUUUCACCUGGAGGUUGGUUCUUGCCUGUUGGAGGACCUGAAUGGGAAGCAGUUCCAUUUGACAUGAAUGGAUUAGAGAAAACCAGAACUCAGCCUGUGAGAUCAGCAGGGACAGACUACUCACUCAUGCCAUAUGAGCUGGACCAGUGUGGAGCAACCAGCACAGGCAGUUCCAUUUGACAUGAAUGGAUUAGAGAAAACCAGAGCUCAGCCUGUGAGGUCAGCAGAGACAGACUAUUCACUCAUGCCAUAUGAGCUGGGCUCAGGUGCAGCAUCCAGCUCAGGAGCUGGAAAAGUCCUGCCUGUGGACACCCCUGUAACUCAACAGGCAGAGACACUUCACUGCAGGGCCCUCAUCUCUGCCCUCCCCUCAGGAGCAGGGGCAGAGCUCCCACAGGCCAGCAGUGGCCCCUCGCUGGGACCAAAGGAGCCCCACACAGAGCUGUCAGGGCACCAGGGACUCCCUGGAGCUGCCCCAGCUCCAAACUCAGCCCCAGCGAGGCCCAUGGCUUGGCAGCCGCAGCGGGAGCCCCUCCGGCUCCGAGGGGCCGGCAAAGGAGCCGCGCCAGGCACAGCCCCCCGGGCACAGCCCUGGGCCCGGCCCCUUCCCUCUCUGCCCUUCUCCGUGUCGACACGGAGGGAGCAACUGGCAUUUCCAUGGAAAGAAGAUUAAAAGUUCUCCCUGACAGGGAUUCUGUGGGAUCCCUCUUGGGCCUGAGCAAGGAGUCGGCCAUGAUUGCCACAAUCCAGCAACCUUGAGAGGGUCUUAAGGAAAGUGGCACAUGAAUGAGCUCUUGCCACAUUGACAGGGAUUAUUCUUUCAGGUUGAGAACUUGCCUCCAGGAGGCCAGAAGUACUUCAGAACAUCAUCGUCCAGAUAAUCCAAGUCACGAUCCCCAUCUAGAAGCAAACAGGGAUGAACUGUUUCCAUGGCAUGCUGGGAUCCCCUCCUGCCUCAGAGAACUGUGGCACUGCAGGGGCUCGGGGAGCCCCAUGGGGGCCAGAUGUCAAUGGACAUGGCCAGAGCUGCAGAGGGGCCUGGGCAGCUCUGGGCUGGCUCCUGGCCGCUCUGCACACUCGUUCCAGACCCUGUGCAACAUCCCUGGGGGAGCGGCUGGAGCAGCCAAGGGCCCUUCGGGGCUCUCUCCGCACCCAGGAAACCCUGGCUAAAGCCCUGGGGAAAACCGUCCCCGACGCUUCCCGGGGAGAAGAGCCCGCUGGCCGGGAAAGGUGCCCCAGGCCGCCGGCUCACCUGCUCCCCGCGCUGGCACCGGAGCAGCCUGGGCAGCCCUGGCGUGCAGGGCCACUGCCAGGAGGAGGGGGAGGAAGAGGCGGAGAGCAAGGGCCAUGGCCCCUCGCCCUCACACCGCCCGGCAGCUACUGCUGCCGCCGCUGUCCUGACACCCCUGUCCUGACACCGCUGUCCUGACAC